GGUUGGUCCAAGUGCAGUGGUGUUUACAACUAAUUGAUCACAACAAGUUACAGAUUCCUUCAUUCCUUUUCUACUCCCACUGUUUCACUUGAUCAGCCAAAA
rnacentral:Y_RNA from 1 species